rnacentral:sRNA from 1 species
AAAAGAAAUGAGUUUUUGAAGGAACGGAUUUGACGGGACGAGUUUUGAAUUACAUCAAUA